AAAGAUUAAGCCAUGCAUGUCUAAGUAUAAGCAAUUAUACCGUGAAACUGCGAAUGGCUCAUUAAAUCAGUUAUCGUUUAUUUGAUAGUACCUUACUACUUGGAUAACCGUGGUAAUUCUAGAGCUAAUACAUGCUGAAAACCCCAACUUCGGGAGGGGUGUAUUUAUUAGAUAAAAAACCAAUGCCCUUCGGGGCUCUUUGGUGAUUCAUGAUAACUUAACAGAUCGCAUGGCCUUGCGCCGGCGACGGUUCAUUCAAAUUUCUGCCCUAUCAACUUUCGAUGGUAAGGUAUUGGCUUACCAUGGUUUCAACGGGUAACGGGGAAU
rnacentral:rRNA from 1 species